rnacentral:misc_RNA from 1 species
GAAAUGCGAUAAGUAGUGUGAAUUGCAGAAUUCAGUGAAUCAUCGAAUCUUUGAACGCACAGUGCGCCCCUUGGUAUUCCAUGGGGCAUGCCUGUUCGAGCGUCAUUUGUACCUUCAAGCUUUGCUUGGUGUUGGGUGUUUGUCUCACCUCUGCGCGCAGACUCGCCUCAAAACAAUUGGCAGCCGGCGUAUUGAUUUCGGAGCGCAGUACAUCUCGCGCUUUGCACUCAUAACGACGACGUCCAAAAAGUACAUUUUUUACACUCUUGACCUCGGAUCAGGUAGGGAUACCCGCUGAACUUAAGC